CGGGGUGAAGAUAAGAUGGAUUACGGCCGGACGGGUGAGUAACACGUGAGUAACCUGCCUUAGACAUUGGGAUAGCCUCGGGAAACCGGGAUUAAUACCAAAUGAAAUCACAUAUGCACAUGCAUAAAUGAUCAAAGCUCCGGCGGUCUAAGAUGGACUCGCGUCCCAUUAGCUAGUUGGUGAGGUAACGGCCCACCAAGGCGACGAUGGGUAGCCGGCCUGAGAGGGUGAACGGCCACAUUGAAACUGAGAAACGGUCCAAACUCCUACGGGAGGCAGCAGUGGGGAAUAUUGCACAAUGGAGGGAACUCUGAUGCAGCGACGCCGCGUGAACGAUGAAGGCUUUCGAGUCGUAAAGUUCUUUUAUAUGGGAAGAUAAUGACGGUACCAUAAGAAAAAGCCCCGGCUAACUACGUGCCAGCAGCCGCGGUAAUACGUAGGGGGCUAGCGUUGUCCGGAAUCACUGGGCGUAAAGGGUUCGCAGGCGGAAAUGCAAGUCAGAUGUAAAAGGCAGUAGCUUAACUACUGUAAGCAUUUGAAACUGCAUAUCUUGAGAAGAGUAGAGGUAAGUGGAAUUUUUAGUGUAGCGGUGAAAUGCGUAGAUAUUAAAAAGAAUACCGGUGGCGAAGGCGACUUACUGGGCUCAUUCUGACGCUGAGGAACGAAAGCGUGGGUAGCAAACAGGAUUAGAUACCCUGGUAGUCCACGCUGUAAACGAUGAGUGCUAGGUAUCGGAAUAAUUCGGUGCCGCAGUUAACACAUUAAGCACUCCGCCUGGGGAGUACGUGCGCGAGCA
rnacentral:rRNA from 1 species